rnacentral:rRNA from 1 species
UACGUAGGGUCCGAGCGUUGUCCGGAAUUACUGGGCGUAAAGAGCUCGUAGGUGGUUUGUCGCGUUGUCCGUGAAAACUCACAGCUCAACUGUGGGCGUGCGGGCGAUACGGGCAGACUGGAGUACUGCAGGGGAGACUGGAAUUCCUGGUGUAGCGGUGAAAUGCGCAGAUAUCAGGAGGAACACCGGUGGCGAAGGCGGAUCUCUGGGCCUUACCUGACGCUGAGGCGCGAAAGCUAGGGGAGCGAACAGG